UAGGCCCAAAACGACGUCGUAUGAGCACUGAUAUAAAUGACAAAAUUUUAACCUAAAAAUCAUUUUCAGCCGCCCUCCCCUUUUUUAAAUUUCUUCCUUCCAUUUUUCCUCUGGGUUUCAGACCCUAGUGCGGCCGGCUCCGGCAUGUUGCCAUCAUAGCACCGCCGUGAGCGGCGGUCGGAGCCACACGAAAUCUACCCCCUUUUUAAUCGUUUAAAAAAAAAUUAGAAGGUCAAGCCUCCUAGGCCUCAACGGCCGAAAGAAAAGAAAACUUCACGCCCUCACGCGACCCAACCUCAGCAACGAGGAAGAGGAUUCCGGCGACGAGACCCACGGGCGAACCUAGGCGUUGAUGGAGGGGAGCAGGUGGCUCCUUACUUCUUUGGUGAAAUGACAGCAGCAAUGGGCGGCGCGAUCGAGGGUGGUAGCCGAUGGGUGCGGCGCACAUGGGGUGUUAGGGUUAGGGUUUUUUUGUUUUACUGAAAAUAUCUUAUGGUUUUGGGCCUGUCGGCUGUCGGGCCCUGGGUAACGGGUUUGUAAUUUAGGUUUUAAUUUAGGCUGGGGGUGAUAAAAUUUUUUAUUGGGCCCAGUGUGAGAUCUAAACUUUUAUUUUUUCUCAACAAUAUUUCCAAGUAGCUUACUUUGAGCAUCAAUCAUUAUUCAUCACUUAACCAUUUUGAACAUAUGAUAUACUGUUGUAAAAGUCUCAUGGAAUAAAAUAUAAAACCAUAAUUUUAUGAUUCAA